ACCAUAGUUCAGUGGUAGAGCAUCUGCCUUGUAUGCAGGACCCAAGUUCAAUCCCCAGUAUCUCUA